UUUUUACUUUCCUUCUCAAGUUUCUUUCCAUCUCCAUCAGAGAAUAAGCAAUAUUUCCUGCAAAUCAUGGUUUUCUAAAGCUCUAAUUUGCAUACUGAUCAUGGGUUUCUAAACAUAUUAGAAGUCUUUGCUACUCAUGAUUAUUCCUAGAUCAUCAAAUCGGUUGUGUUUGUGGGAAAUUGGAAGCUAAUCAACAUCUCUAUCUCUAACUUCCCCGUCAACGCUUCAUCACACAAUUGCCUCAUUUAUCGUUGAUCUAGGUCUAGCUGUCGUCUUCUCUACCUACCUUUCCUGAUUCUAACUUAACAACUCUAAUGGAAGAGUUGAUGGCAGCUGACAAGUACACCCAUUUGGCAGCUAUUCGAUUUGUUUCUUUAAAAUGGUAAACACACGCCUCAAUUUCUUCGCAAUUAGUUCGGCUUUGUGAUUAUUAUAACUGGAUACGCACCAAGUGUUUGAAUAAAUGCCUGGCUGAAUUGUAAUUGCAUUCACCUUUUUUGCUUUCUUUUCCAAGUAUGGUACGUGUUGAGUGUUUCUGAUGAGAUUCUAAUUAGGUUAAUUUAAGUGCAACUUGGUUCAGUUUUACAUGGUUUUGGUUCUGUUUAUUGGUUUAAUUGACUUGAAAUCCAAUAACAAUAACAAGUUACAUUUUAAAUUGAGUAAUGGGUCAGACUACAUAAACCCAACAAACUACAAUUGACAAUGUUGUUAGACGUUUGACCCAUUUUAGCUUUGAUUUUUAUUUUUGCUUACAAAUUGGACUUUAUCUUCAACUGUUAAGAAAAAUUGAUUUACUUUGCUGCAGUAGGAUAUGAGUUGAAUGCUCGAAAUGUGAUUUACUUUGUUGUGGUAGGAUAUGACUUGAACACUUGGAAUGUAAAUUGAAUUAUAGAGGCCGAUUUUUACUUAAUUUAUUGUAUGGACUUUUACAUUUUAUGUAUGUUGAUAUUAUAUAAAGACUGCAGCCAAUAAGGGAUCUCUUUGUGCUAAUAUGCAAGUAGAAUAAAAAACUAGACAAACUGAAUCAAAUAUGUUAUGUAUGCAGUAUAAAUACCAUGUUAUUGAUUCUUUAUUAUGUUUUUCUUUACAUAGGAAGAUCUAGCUAUGAAGAAGAUAAGUAGGGUUAACACGGAUGCACACCGUAUGAAACGUUUUUGUAUGUUAAAAUGGUAAUUUAUGUUCCUGUAUGAUUGACACGGAUGCUACACUAUAUAAAAUGUUUUUGCAUGUUAAAAUGAAAAUUUAUGUUCCAACAUUAGGAUAAACAACUAUGAAUUGUGUAUGCUUCCAGCUGCUAAUAGUCUUAUCUCACCGUCCCGCCGCAACGCGCGAGCAAAUUACUAGUAUAUACAUAUAUAUAAAGAAAAUUAAUCGGGUUCAGAUAUCGUAAUAAAAAAAUAAAUUAAAGUAAAUUUCAAAUUCAUAAUACAGUACGUCAGUCAUCAUUAGAAAUGGAAAACAUAAAUACAAUAUCUCUAUAGUUAAGGCUUUACAAGUUUUCAUUUUCUGAAAGUUAGCCAUUACAUAUGUACAUAAACAUUCCUAAACAACAUUUUU
rnacentral:lncRNA from 1 species